rnacentral:rRNA from 1 species
GGUUAAGCGACUAAGCGUACACGGUGGAUGCCCUGGCAGUCAGAGGCGAUGAAGGACGUGCUAAUCUGCGAUAAGCGUCGGUAAGGUGAUAUGAACCGUUAUAACCGGCGAUUUCCGAAUGGGGAAACCCAGUGUGAUUCGUCACACUAUCAUUAACUGAAUCCAUAGGUUAAUGAGGCGAACCGGGGGAACUGAAACAUCUAAGUACCCCGAGGAAAAGAAAUCAACCGAGAUUCCCCCAGUAGCGGCGAGCGAACGGGGAGCAGCCCAGAGCCUGAAUCAGUGUGUGUGUUAGUGGAAGCGUCUGGAAAGGCGCGCGAUACAGGGUGACAGCCCCGUACACAAAAAUGCACAUGCUGUGAGCUCGAUGAGUAGGGCGGGACACGUGGUAUCCUGUCUGAAUAUGGGGGGACCAUCCUCCAAGGCUAAAUACUCCUGACUGACCGAUAGUGAACCAGUACCGUGAGGGAAAGGCGAAAAGAACCCCGGCGAGGGGAGUGAAAAAGAACCUGAAACCGUGUACGUACAAGCAGUGGGAGCACGCUUCGGCGUGUGACUGCGUACCUUUUGUAUAAUGGGUCAGCGACUUAUAUUCUGUAGCAAGGUUAACCGAAUAGGGGAGCCGAAGGGAAACCGAGUCUUAACUGGGCGUUAAGUUGCAGGGUAUAGACCCGAAACCCGGUGAUCUAGCCAUGGGCAGGUUGAAGGUUGGGUAACACUAACUGGAGGACCGAACCGACUAAUGUUGAAAAAUUAGCGGAUGACUUGUGGCUGGGGGUGAAAGGCCAAUCAAACCGGGAGAUAGCUGGUUCUCCCCGAAAGCUAUUUAGGUAGCGCCUCGUGAAUUCAUCUCCGGGGGUAGAGCACUGUUUCGGCAAGGGGGUCAUCCCGACUUACCAACCCGAUGCAAACUGCGAAUACCGGAGAAUGUUAUCACGGGAGACACACGGCGGGUGCUAACGUCCGUCGUGAAGAGGGAAACAACCCAGACCGCCAGCUAAGGUCCCAAAGUCAUGGUUAAGUGGGAAACGAUGUGGGAAGGCCCAGACAGCCAGGAUGUUGGCUUAGAAGCAGCCAUCAUUUAAAGAAAGCGUAAUAGCUCACUGGUCGAGUCGGCCUGCGCGGAAGAUGUAACGGGGCUAAACCAUGCACCGAAGCUGCGGCAGCGACACUAUGUGUUGUUGGGUAGGGGAGCGUUCUGUAAGCCUGUGAAGGUGUGCUGUGAGGCAUGCUGGAGGUAUCAGAAGUGCGAAUGCUGACAUAAGUAACGAUAAAGCGGGUGAAAAGCCCGCUCGCCGGAAGACCAAGGGUUCCUGUCCAACGUUAAUCGGGGCAGGGUGAGUCGACCCCUAAGGCGAGGCCGAAAGGCGUAGUCGAUGGGAAACAGGUUAAUAUUCCUGUACUUGGUGUUACUGCGAAGGGGGGACGGAGAAGGCUAUGUUGGCCGGGCGACGGUUGUCCCGGUUUAAGCGUGUAGGCUGGUUUUCCAGGCAAAUCCGGAAAAUCAAGGCUGAGGCGUGAUGACGAGGCACUACGGUGCUGAAGCAACAAAUGCCCUGCUUCCAGGAAAAGCCUCUAAGCAUCAGGUAACAUCAAAUCGUACCCCAAACCGACACAGGUGGUCAGGUAGAGAAUACCAAGGCGCUUGAGAGAACUCGGGUGAAGGAACUAGGCAAAAUGGUGCCGUAACUUCGGGAGAAGGCACGCUGAUAUGUAGGUGAAGCGACUUGCUCGUGGAGCUGAAAUCAGUCGAAGAUACCAGCUGGCUGCAACUGUUUAUUAAAAACACAGCACUGUGCAAACACGAAAGUGGACGUAUACGGUGUGACGCCUGCCCGGUGCCGGAAGGUUAAUUGAUGGGGUUAGCGGUAACGCGAAGCUCUUGAUCGAAGCCCCGGUAAACGGCGGCCGUAACUAUAACGGUCCUAAGGUAGCGAAAUUCCUUGUCGGGUAAGUUCCGACCUGCACGAAUGGCGUAAUGAUGGCCAGGCUGUCUCCACCCGAGACUCAGUGAAAUUGAACUCGCUGUGAAGAUGCAGUGUACCCGCGGCAAGACGGAAAGACCCCGUGAACCUUUACUAUAGCUUGACACUGAACAUUGAGCCUUGAUGUGUAGGAUAGGUGGGAGGCUUUGAAGUGUGGACGCCAGUCUGCAUGGAGCCGACCUUGAAAUACCACCCUUUAAUGUUUGAUGUUCUAACGUUGGCCCCUGAUCGGGGUUGCGGACAGUGUCUGGUGGGUAGUUUGACUGGGGCGGUCUCCUCCUAAAGAGUAACGGAGGAGCACGAAGGUUGGCUAAUCCUGGUCGGACAUCAGGAGGUUAGUGCAAUGGCAUAAGCCAGCUUGACUGCGAGCGUGACGGCGCGAGCAGGUGCGAAAGCAGGUCAUAGUGAUCCGGUGGUUCUGAAUGGAAGGGCCAUCGCUCAACGGAUAAAAGGUACUCCGGGGAUAACAGGCUGAUACCGCCCAAGAGUUCAUAUCGACGGCGGUGUUUGGCACCUCGAUGUCGGCUCAUCACAUCCUGGGGCUGAAGUAGGUCCCAAGGGUAUGGCUGUUCGCCAUUUAAAGUGGUACGCGAGCUGGGUUUAGAACGUCGUGAGACAGUUCGGUCCCUAUCUGCCGUGGGCGCUGGAGAACUGAGGGGGGCUGCUCCUAGUACGAGAGGACCGGAGUGGACGCAUCACUGGUGUUCGGGUUGUCAUGCCAAUGGCACUGCCCGGUAGCUAAAUGCGGAAGAGAUAAGUGCUGAAAGCAUCUAAGCACGAAACUUGCCCCGAGAUGAGUUCUCCCUGACUCCCUGAGAGUCCUGAAGGAACGUUGAAGACGACGACGUUGAUAGGCCGGGUGUGUAAGCGCAGCGAUGCGUUGAGCUAACCGGUACUAAUGAACCGUGAGGCUUAACCUU